rnacentral:rRNA from 1 species
CCCUUAGAUGUUCUGGGCCGCACGCGCGCUACACUGAUGCAUUCAACGAGUUUCUUCCUGGUCCGAGAGGAAUGGGUAACCUUUUGAAAGUGCAUCGUGAUAGGGAUAGACUAUUGCAAUUAUUGGUCUUCAACGAGGAAUUCCUAGUAGACGUAGUUCAUCAGACUGCAUCGAUUACGUCCCUGCCCAUUGUACACACCGCCCGUCGCUCCUACCGAUUGAAUGCUCAGGUGAGCCAUUCGGACUUUCAUCAUGCUGGUUUCCAGUUUUGAUGAAGGAAAGUCUUGCGAACCUUAUCAUUUAGAGGAAGGAGAAGUCGUAACA